rnacentral:rRNA from 1 species
GUGCACGCUGGCGGUAGGCCUAACACAUGCAAGUCGAACGGCAGCACAGUAAGAGCUUGCUCUUACGGGUGGCGAGUGGCGGACGGGUGAGGAAUACAUCGGAAUCUACUUUUUCGUGGGGGAUAACGUAGGGAAACUUACGCUAAUACCGCAUACGACCUACGGGUGAAAGCAGGGGAUCUUCGGACCUUGCGCGAUUGAAUGAGCCGAUGUCGGAUUAGCUAGUUGGCGGGGUAAAGGCCCACCAAGGCGACGAUCCGUAGCUGGUCUGAGAGGAUGAUCAGCCACACUGGAACUGAGACACGGUCCAGACUCCUACGGGAGGCAGCAGUGGGGAAUAUUGGACAAUGGGCGCAAGCCUGAUCCAGCUAUACCGCGUGGGUGAAGAAGGCCUUCGGGUUGUAAAGCCCUUUUGUUGGGAAAGAAAAGCAGCAGGUUAAUACCCCGCUGUUCUGACGGUACCCAAAGAAUAAGCACCGGCUAACUUCGUG